rnacentral:lncRNA from 1 species
UUGGGCCUCUCUCUCAUGAUGGUGGCUUUCACUGUGAUGCUUCCAUGCCCUUUGAGCCCUGAGUGCAAGGCCAAGGUGCCCCCACAGCUUCCUAGUUGCUGCUGAGUUCCCCACCCCCCAGAUGGGAGGUAUGCACCUCCCAUUCUGGGUCUCAAUAGAUCACCUGGGCCCCGGUCCUCUGAAAGCCUAUUGAAUACAAGUAAGUAACACAAGGCUGUUUUGUUCAUUACCCCUAUAAUUCAAGAAAUCCAAUUUGCGAGACAGAAUUGACUUGAGGCCAAAAACUCCAGGGUCAUUCUGCCCCAACUUGAAUCCUGGCACCACUUACUGCUAUGUGAUCUCAGAUGCCAUAACUAAUCUCUCUAAUUCUAUUUCCCUGCAUUUAAAAUGCAGGCAAUGCCCAUGG